CCCACUACGAGUGUCAUGGAUGUCCAGCUUCAUGCUACGACAGUCCCAGCUACCGGCUUACGCCCGCGUGUGCUGCGCCCUCACCAAACUGCACCAAGCCACUUUUUGGAAUCCUAACGGGGUUUUCACCCAAAAGCCUUUUACAACUUCACUCGCAUUAUCAGUCACCUCUGACCGGACAACAACAGACGCGCCCAUUUCACUAAACAGUCCGGGUUCGACCUCCCUCUAAUCCUGAGUCAAACCCCUCCGGCUAAAACACUGGCUGAAGCUCGUCCACGGCUGAGAGGCACAGCGUGGAGCGGAGGAGAUCAGAGGUACUGGCAUUCAAUUCCUCUGGUGACAAACGCUGGGCGCUGGUGUUGUGGACUAAUCCCAUUCACAACAACAAAGCCCGACCCCCCACCACACGUAUACUGUGCACGUGCACACACACACACACACACACACACACACACACACACACACACACAAUCUGGAAUACAGAUGAAGCACCGAGUGAUGGGGGUGGGUGAGUAUGCAUGCAUGUAGAUGUGUGGGUGUGUGUUGGUAGAAUUGUAAUAUAGCAGAUUUUGUGUGUGUGUGUGCGUUAAUGAAAAAGCUGUAAUCUGGGUCCUUGUCAAACCUGUUUACGCCUCGCUGAGUCUUCUGCCCCAUUCGUCCCUCCUCUUUCUCUUCCGCUCUUCCCCUAUUCCAUCUUCUCCAUCCCUGCCUUUUCCUUCCACUCUCCAUCCUCCCUCCCUCCCUCCUCCUCCUCCUCCUCCGCAGCCAGGCAACUACACAAACAGUCCCUCUUCCUCCUUUACUACCAGCUCCCUUUGCUCCAUCCAUCCAUGCUAAUUGAAAACCACUCUCGCUCUCAUUUCCGUUCUUACUUACAUGUCACCUCCAUGUUUCCAAGUGCAGUGUGAAACUCUCCACAGUGAUAAGUGAAUCCUCGUGCUUUUGCCAGAGACGGAGUUUUUUGCGCCCGCCUGGAGACCGGGAUGGAUGGACGGAUGGAAUUAAGAAGCAGAUGGCUCCUGGCUCUAGCUGAUUGUGGACAGUUAGCUUUAGCGUUAGCCACAAUGAGGGAAGACUCGUCUGUCAGUGCAGCAUGUGCACCUUCUCCUUUUGUGCUGUUCUCUCUUGGCUCUUUGUUCCUUCAGGUUUCCUUCUCUAUUCUUUCUUUUAGCACAUUCCCUUCAAUUUAAAAAAUAAAAAACUAACAACAAACUCUUA